rnacentral:lncRNA from 1 species
GACCGACUUACAGCUAUGGAAAAAUAGUCCAUAAACGUUCCGUAUAAUGAUAUGCAAAUUCAUAAUUAAUCGUAACUUUUUUAUACUUUAUAUAAUAAAUAUAACAAAAUGGAUUCCACAAAAUUGAAAAUAGCAUUAUUUUACGAGGAUUUCUAAUAUUUUUUUCACUUCCGGGCGCAGUAAUACGUAUGUUUUGAAGGAGCUCGAAGAAAUUGACAAAGUGAAUUGAGAAGGAAACGGAUAGAUAUACGUCCUUGCUAUCAGGUAAAACAAUUUAAAUGUACAGAAAAAACACAUUUACUUCACACAAAUAGUACAGGCUUAAGCAUUUUAUUGUCUUAUACACGACUGUAGUCUAGUGUUUAAACGACGGCGG